rnacentral:lncRNA from 1 species
GUUUUCUUGCUUUUCUCCCCCUCUUUUCGCUUAAUCCUUCGAGUAGAGGUUGAUUUUUCUUGCUCCUGGUUUGGAUUGUAUCCUGUAUACACAAGAAACAAAAAACCUAAAAGCACUUUUAUAGAAAAAAAAAAUAAAAAUAAAAAUAAAAACUUAAACAAAAUAUGUACAAAGUCAAAUUUAAUCAAAAUCACACUACUAAUAAUGUUAAACCACGAGUCCCCG